rnacentral:piRNA from 1 species
UACCUAAGGGACAGGAAAGUUUGGA